UCUUUCUUUCUUGUAUGAGAUAGUAGUCCAUGAGGCGUCAUCAUCCUGGCAAUGCUCUUCUUUUAACUCAACACCCAUAUGUUUGGUGAUCCCACUUUGAGUGUAGGUGUAACUGAAACCCAUGCAUCUUUCAGCGUCAAUAUGAGCCACCGCUUGUAGAGCCUUGGUGCUCGUGUUGACCGCAAGCAUCCAUGCCUUGCAAUCGGAGAACUCAACCUUGGUCUUGAUGUAAAGAAUACCAUCAUCAUGCAGGCUCACAGCAGGACUCCUUGCGUGGAGCCCCGUGAGGACCC
rnacentral:lncRNA from 1 species